rnacentral:rRNA from 1 species
GAUGAACGCUGGCGGCGUGCCUAACACAUGCAAGUCGAGCGGUAGCGAGGGGUGCUUGCACCCUGUCGGCGAGCGGCGGACGGCUGAGUAACGCGUGGGAACGUGCCCCAAAGUGAGGAAUAACUGCCCGAAAGGGUAGCUAAUACCGCAUAUUAUCUUCGGAUCAAAGGAUUUAUCCGCUUUGGGAGCGGCUCGCGUCGGAUUAGGUAGUUGGUGAGGUAAUGGCUCACCAAGCCGACGAUCCGUAGCUGGUCUGAGAGGAUGACCAGCCAGACUGGAACUGAGACACGGUCCAGACUCCUACGGGAGGCAGCAGUGAGGAAUCUUCCACAAUGGGCGAAAGCCUGAUGGAGCAACGCCGCGUGCAGGACGAAGGCCUUCGGGUUGUAAACUGCUUUUAUAAGUGAGGAAUAUGACGGUAACUUAUGAAUAAGGAUCGGCUAACUACGUG